AUUGAACGCUGGCGGCAGGCUUAACACGUGCAAGUCGAGCGGGGUGAUGGUGCUUGCACUAUCACUUAGCGGCGGACGGGUGAGUAAUGCUUAGGAAUCUGCCUAUUAGUGGGGGACAACAUCUCGAAAGGGAUGCUAAUACCGCAUACGUCCUACGGGAGGAAGCAGGGGAUCUUCGGACCUUGCGCUAAUAGAUGAGCCUAAGUCGGAUUAGCUAGUUGGUGGGGUAAAGGCCUACCAAGGCGACGAUCUGUAGCGGGUCUGAGAGGAUGAUCCGCCACACUGGGACUGAGACACGGCCCAGACUCCUACGGGAGGCAGCAGUGGGGAAUAUUGGACAAUGGGGGGAACCCUGAUCCAGCCAUGCCGCGUGUGUGAAGAAGGCCUUAUGGUUGUAAAGCACUUUAAGCGAGGAGGAGGCUACUCUAGUUAAUACCUAGGGAUAGUGGACGUUACUCGCAGAAUAAGCACCGGCUAACUCUGUGCCAGCAGCCGCGGUAA
rnacentral:rRNA from 1 species